UCCGAUUUUUGACGAGCGCUUCUUUUAGAUUAAAACCAAUCGGAUUUCGGUCCGUCAUUUGGUGACUCUGAAUAGCUAUGGCUGAUCGCAUGGUCUUGUACCGGCGACGUAUCUAUCAAGUGUCUGCCUUAUCAACUUUCGAUGGUAGUUUAUGUGCCUACCAUGGUUGUAACGGGUAACGGAGAAUAAGGGUUCGACUCCGGAGAGGGAGCCUGAGAAACGGCUACCACAUCCAAGGAAGGCAGCAGGCGCGCAAAUUACCCACUCUCGGCAUGAGGAGGUAGUGACGAAAAAUAACGAGACCGUUCUCUAUGAGGCCGGUUAUCGGAAUGGGUACAAUUUAAACCCGUUAACGAGGAUCUAUGAGAGGGCAAGUCUGGUGCCAGCAGCCGCGGUAAUUCCAGCUCUCAAAGUGUAUAUCGUCAUUGCUGCGGUUAAAAAGCUCGUAGUUGGAUCUGCGCCUCAGGACUCGGUCCGCCCACUGGGUGAGAACUGGGCUCCUAGGCUAAUACUGCUGGUUUUCCCUAUGUUGCCUUCACCGGUCGCGUAGGGUGGCUAGCGAGUUUACUUUGAAAAAAUUAGAGUGCUUCACGCGGGCUAUUGUCUGAAUACUCGUGCAUGGAAUAAUAGAAUAGGAUCUCGGUUCUAUUUUGUUGGUUUUCUGAUCUGAGAUAAUGGUUAAGAGGGACGGACGGGGGCAUUCGUAUCGCUGCGUGAGAGGUGAAAUUCUUGGACCGUAGCGAGACGUCCGACUGCGAAAGCAUUUGCCAAGAAUGUCUUCAUUAAUCAAGAACGAAAGUCAGAGGUUCGAAGGCGAUCA
rnacentral:rRNA from 1 species